UACGUAGGGGGCAAGCGUUGUCCGGAAUCAUUGGGCGUAAAGCGCGUGUAGGCGGCUUGAUAAGUCUGCUCUGAAAGCCCGGGGCUCAACCCCGGGAGGCGGGUGGAUACUGUCAAGCUCGAGUCCGGAAGAGGAGUGUGGAAUUCCUGGUGUAGCGGUGAAAUGCGCAGAUAUCAGGAGGAGCACCGGUGGUGUAGACGGCUCACUGGACCGUAACUGACGCUGAGACACGAAAGCGUGGGUAGCAAACAGG
rnacentral:rRNA from 1 species